rnacentral:rRNA from 1 species
AGCGAACGCUGGCGGCAGGCUUAACACAUGCAAGUCGAGCGGGCGUAGCAAUACGUCAGCGGCAGACGGGUGAGUAACGCGUGGGAACGUACCUUUUGGUUCGGAACAACACAGGGAAACUUGUGCUAAUACCGGAUAAGCCCUUACGGGGAAAGAUUUAUCGCCGAAAGAUCGGCCCGCGUCUGAUUAGCUAGUUGGUGUGGUAACGGCGCACCAAGGCGACGAUCAGUAGCNGGUCUGGGAGGAUGAUCAGCCACAUUGGGACUGAGACACGGCCCAAACUCCUACGGGAGGCAGCAGUGGGGAAUAUUGGACAAUGGGCGCAAGCCUGAUCCAGCCAUGCCGCGUGAGUGAUGAAGGCCCUAGGGUUGUAAAGCUCUUUUGUGCGGGAAGAUAAUGACGGUACCGCAAGAAUAACGCCCCGGCUAACUUCGUGCCAGCAGCCGCCGCAGUAAC